CCCCAGACUCCUACGGGAGGCAGCAGUGGGGAAUAUUGCACAAUGGGGGAAACCCUGAUGCAGCGACGCCGCGUGAGUGAAGAAGUCUUUCGGUAUGUAAAGCUCUAUCAGCAGGGAAGAAAAUGACGGUACCUGACUAAGAAGCCCCGGCUAACUACGUGCCAGCAGCCGCGGUAAUACGUAGGGGGCAAGCGUUAUCCGGAUUUACUGGGUGUAAAGGGAGCGUAGACGGCAGGGCAAGUCUGGAGUGAAAGGCAGGGGCCCAACCCCUGGACUGCUCUGGAAACUGUCCGGCUGGAGUGCAGGAGAGGUAAGUGGAAUUCCUAGUGUAGCGGUGAAAUGCGUAGAUAUUAGGAGGAACACCAGUGGCGAAGGCGGCUUACUGGACUGUAACUGACGUUGAGGCUCGAAAGCGUGGGGAGCAAACAGGAUUAGAUACCCUUGUAA
rnacentral:rRNA from 1 species